rnacentral:rRNA from 1 species
UUGCAUGCGGGAAGAAGCAGUACCGUAAGGAGCUGUGGACUGCAUGGAAGAGAGAAUGCCGGAAUGAGUAGCGAGAAUAAGGUGAGAAUCCUUAUGGCCGAAUAUCCAAGGUUUCCAGAGUAAAGCUGAUCUGCUCUGGGUAAGUCGGGGCCUAAGGCGAGGACGAGAGUCGUAGCCGAUGGACAACAGGUGGAGAUUCCUGUACUGCGGUAUGACAGAACUGUGGGGACACGUAAGGAAAGCGGAAGCCGGGAAUGGAAAGCCCGGUGCAAGCGGGGUACCAGUCACUCUGGCAAAUCCGGGUGGCAAUGGGAAGCCGUGAUGCGGAGCGAAAUAAAGUAGCGAAGUCCGUGAGCCAUGCGUCAAGAAAAGCCGCUAUCGUUUAUACCGUACCCGUACCGUAAACCGACACAGGUGGAUGAGGAGAGAAUCCUAAGGCCGGCGGAAGAAGCAUUGUCAAGGAACUCGGCAAAAUGGCCCCGUAACUUAGGGAUAAGGGGUGCCUGGGAAACCAGGCCGCAGAGAAUAGGCUCAAGCAACUGUUUAGCAAAAACACAGGUCUAUGCGAAACCGAAAGGUGAGGUAUAUGGGCUGACGCCUGCCCGGUGCUGGAAGGUUAAGAGGAGAGGUUAGCGCAAGCGAAGCUUUGAAUUUAAGCCCCAGUAAACGGCGGCCGUAACAAUAACGGUCCUAAGGUAGCGAAAUUCCUUGUCGGGUAAGUUCCGACCCGCACGAAAGGCGUAAUGAUUUGAGCGCUGUCUCGACAAUGCAUCCGGUGAAAUUGAAGUACCAGUGAAGAUGCUGGUUACCUGCGCCAGGACGGAAAGACCCCAUGGAGCUUUACUCCAGUUUGGUACUGGGACUCGGUAUUGCAUGUACAGGAUAGGUGGGAGGCUAGGAGAUAGUAACGCCAGUUAUUAUGGAGCCGCUGUUGGGAUACCACCCUUGCAGUAUUGGGUUUCUAACCAGCCGCCGUGACCCGGCGGUGGGACAAUGCCAGACGGGGAGUUUGACUGGGGCGGUCGCCUCCGAAAGGGUAUCGGAGGCGCCCAAAGGUUCCCUCAGAAUGGACGGAAACCAUUCGAAGAGUGCAAAGGCAGAAGGGAGCUUGACUGCGACACCGACGGGUGGAGCAGGUACGAAAGUAGGGCUUAGUGAUCCGGUGGUAUUAAGUGGGAAUGCCAUCGCUCAACGGAUAAAAGCUACCCUGGGAUAACAGGCUUAUCACUCCCAAGAGUUCACAUCGACGGAGUGGUUUGGCACCUCGAUGUCGGCUCAUCGCAUCCUGGGGCUGUAGUAGGUCCCAAGGGUUGGGCUGUUCGCCCAUUAAAGCGGUACGCGAGCUGGGUUCAGAACGUCGUGAGACAGUUCGGUCCCUAUCCGGCGUGGGCGUAGGAUAUCUGAGAGGAGCUGUCCUUAGUACGAGAGGACCGGGGUGGACGGGCCGCUGGUGCAUCGGUUAGACUGCCAAGUCUACGGCCGAGUAGCCAAGCCCGGAAGGGAUAAACGCUGAAGGCAUCUAAGCGUGAAGCCCCCCUUAAGAUGAGAUAUCCCAUUCGAAAGAAGUAAACCCCCUUGAAGACGACGAGGUAGAUAGGGCAGAGGUGGAAGUGUGGCAACACAUGGAGCUGACUGUUACUAAUCGGGUGAGGGCUUGACCA